ACGCUGAAGGAGGAGCUUGCUUCUCCGGAUGAGUUGCGAACGGGUGAGUAACGCGUAGGUAACCUGCCUGGUAGCGGGGGAUAACUAUUGGAAACGAUAGCUAAUACCGCAUAAUAGUAGAUGUUGCAUGACAUUUGCUUAAAAGGUGCAAUUGCACCACUACCAGAUGGACCUGCGUUGUAUUAGCUAGUUGGUGGGGUAACGGCUCACCAAGGCGACGAUACAUAGCCGACCUGAGAGGGUGAUCGGCCACACUGGGACUGAGACACGGCCCAGACUCCUACGGGAGGCAGCAGUAGGGAAUCUUCGGCAAUGGGGGCAACCCUGACCGAGCAACGCCGCGUGAGUGAAGAAGGUUUUCGGAUCGUAAAGCUCUGUUGUAAGAGAAGAACGAGUGUGAGAGUGGAAAGUUCACACUGUGACGGUAACUUACCAGAAAGGGACGGCUAACUACGUGCCAGCAGCCGCGGUAAUACGUAGGUCCCGAGCGUUAUCCGGAUUUAUUGGGCGUAAAGCGAGCGCAGGCGGUUAGAUAAGUCUGAAGUUAAAGGCUGUGGCUUAACCAUAGUACGCUUUGGAAACUGUUUAACUUGAGUGCAGAAGGGGAGAGUGGAAUUCCAUGUGUAGCGGUGAAAUGCGUAGAUAUAUGGAGGAACACGGGUGGCGAAAGCGGCUCUCUGGUCUGUAACUGACGCUGAGGCUCGAAGCGUGGGGCGCAAACAGGAUUAGAUACCCUGGUAGUCCACGCCGUAAACGAUGAGUGCUAGGUGUUGGGUCCUUUCCGGGACUCAGUGCCGCAGCUAACGCAUUAAGCACUCCGCCUGGGAGUACGA
rnacentral:rRNA from 1 species